CCGUCUCUGGAGUGACUUGGUUUGAGUGUGUUUCCAGUGAAAAGUUGCGGCUGUACUUGGUGCGUCAGCGCUCAAAACUUGAGCACAAAGCAGGAGGGAGAGGACGAGAGACAUAGAGAAAUCAAGGCAAGAGAGAGAGAGCGCGAGAGGAGCGGUCCCCUUUUCCUUUGUCUUUGAGGAGAGAACUUGAGGGGAUGCUCAAAGACGCAUCUUCAUAACGCUCACUCAUAGCAAACUUGUUCUGCUUCUCAAAGUGUUAUGUCUGGGAUUUUAAUGGAUGUGAGAUGGAGUAAGUGCUGGUGCCGUGUUUUUGUCUCCCGGGGAUGUUGCGACACGCAAAACAAAGCCUGUCAGAAGUUUGCAAGGGAAGGACGCUUUACGCACGCACGCAGGAAAAACAAAAAAGUGACUGGAUUAGUUCAUGUAAAUAGUUGAAUGUAGUCUCGUGUAUAGAGAUUUUUUAUUAUGAUUUUUUUCAUAAGUUGCGUUUUUGUUUUUGAGAAGUUGGCGCUGCACUGAGGAAAUUCUCUACAAUGCAAUCAGGUGUAAAGUCUGCAAGAAACAAGCCAGUGGAAUUAUCGAGCAAGGCGUCUCCUGUGGAAGGUCAAGAAAAUGGGCAAAAACAAUAUGCUGAAGCAAUGCGAAGAUGGCACAGGAUCACCUAUCAGACGACGCUUUAAGAUGGAGAGGAGGAUUAAGAGACUGUGCAGGUUCUUUUUGGGGAGAAGGUAAAGACUUAUCUCAGGUUGGAUUUAAACUUUUGCAACAGUGGUGCCAGUUGGAUUGUGUUUUAGGGCACACGUGAAAAUCCCAAACUCAUGGAGACACUUUAAGGAUUAUCCGAAUUCAUGGUAAAUCUCUCCGCAAGACACAUCUUGAGCCAGAGUCUCUGGGAUAGCAGGAUAUUGCACUUCUGAUCCUCCUCGGCCCUCGGCACGGGGAGCGUGGGAGUACCGAGGUCUGGGAGAUCACGACCCUAAUUCUUUCCAAGACAGACGGUUUAAUUAACACUGUAGGAAUCCUCUCCAACUCCAGACCUCUGCAAAAGGAAUUUACUCAGGAAUUACACCACACAGGUCUUGGACAUUUAGUGGACCAGAAAGCUGACAGAUGAUGCCCAUGAAUGAUGGAUGAUGUCUUCUUGGUGCCAGUUGAAUGCAUUAUAAGGCAAUGAUACGGCCCCUGUCAUUGUGGCCCACGUUGGCAGAAGACCACCUCACAGGGAUUUUCCUCUUCACCAGGUGUGGCAGACUGAGAUUCAGCGGCAACGUCUACACAGGAGUUGAUGGCAAGU